UAAAUCAGUUAUCGUUUAUUUGAUAGUACCUUUACUACUUGGAUAACCGUGGUAAUUCUAGAGCUAAUACAUGCUAAAAAUCCCGACUGUUUGGAAGGGAUGUAUUUAUUAGAUAAAAAAUCAAUGCUCUUUGAGCUCUUUGAUGAUUCAUAAUAACUUUUCGAAUCGCAUGGCCUUGUGCUGGCGAUGGUUCAUUCAAAUUUCUGCCCUAUCAACUUUCGAUGGUAGGAUAGUGGCCUACCAUGGUUUCAACGGGUAACGGGGAAUAAGGGUUCGAUUCCGGAGAGGGAGCCUGAGAAACGGCUACCACAUCCAAGGAAGGCAGCAGGCGCGCAAAUUACCCAAUCCCGACACGGGGAGGUAGUGACAAUACAUAACGAUACAGGGCCCUUUCGGGUCUUGUAAUUGGAAUGAGUACAAUGUAAAUAACUUAACGAGGAACAAUUGGAGGGCAAGUCUGGUGCCAGCAGCCGCGGUAAUUCCAGCUCCAAUAGCGUAGAUUAAAGUUGUUGCAGUUAAAAAGCUCGUAGUUGAACUUUGGGCUUGGUUGGCCGGUCCGCCUUUUUGGCGAGUACUGAACCCAACCGAGCCUUUCCUUCUGGCUAAGCAUUCGCCCUUGUGGUGUUUGGCGAAC
rnacentral:rRNA from 1 species